GAGUGCAGAGGAGAAGUCAACCCUGAAGACCUUGACCUUUGUUGGCUGUGGUGUCUCGUUCUGUGCCCUGAUUGUCACCUUCGUCCUCUUCCUGGCAGUUGGUGUCCCCAAGAGCGAGAGGACCACAGUGCACAAGAACCUGAUAUUUGCACUGGUAGCUGCGGAGGCCUUGCUCAUGUUCAGUGAAUUGGCCAAAACCAACCAGGGAGUGUGCUUUGCCAUCACGGCCUUCCUGCACCUCUUCUUCAAGGCUGCCUUUGCCUGGAUGCUGGUGGAAGGUCUUCUCCUGUGGAGCAAAGUGGUGGCUGUGAACAUGAGCAAUGACCAGCGGAUGCGGUUUUACUAUGUGAGUGGAUG